UCGGGCAGAAAGUAAACGACUUUACGACCAGCGCAGGCUCCGGGACUCGCUGCCAGCUUCCUAUUUCGUCAUUCUUGGAGUCGGGAAGGGGCGGAACGUGCCAGUACAAUGUAUUUAUGGUUAGCCCUUUAAAAAAGCAUUUGAAGUUUUGACGUAAGUCUUCAUUAUAGGUACAAUCGCUGUUUUUUGGAUUAUGAUAUUUAGGAAAGAGAGGUGAUGGGGAGUCUCUGAGCCUUAGAAGAACUCUGAGUUCCUCAGAAAAGUGCCCUAUAAAUUCAAGGUAUAAUCAUCUGGAUCAUUGCUGUCAUUAUUUCCACCCAAGCACGUUUCCAGACGUAUGAUUGGAAAUAAAAAUAACCUUGUGGAAUGUAGUCCUCAGAGCCAUUAGCAAUGUGGAGUCUGAAAAGGAGAAGCGUGCUGUGGGUGAUGUCUUCAGGCCUUGCUGACUCAAAGACGUGCAAAAUGCAAGACUUUGAGGGUACAGGCAAGGCAUGCACGAUCCAUGUCACUGCUUCAUCAGAGUAGGGGACCUUUCAGCUCAUCUGAUACAGAGGCAGCCCGGGGAUCAUGAAGUCUCAAGAGCCAAAAGGACCUUAGAGAUUAUCAUCUUCUCCAUCUAUGCUGGAGCCUUACCUGUGCCCUGACAGUCUAGAAUUGAGAUUUAGCCUAUGCUUGAACUCUUUAGCAGUUCACAAGCUCUUCUUACUUGCAUGUUUUAAUGAAGUAAAUUGCUGUGUUGCUGUGUUACAAGUUGCCCUAUGGAAAGGCCCAUUUGGCAAGGCACUGAGAGUGACGUCAGGACAAUAGCCAAUGAGGAACUGAGGCCCUCAGUCCAACAGCCUGUGGAGAACUGGAUCUUGCCAACAACCAUGUUCCAAGUGAGCUUGGAAGCAGAUCCUUUUCCAGUUGAGCCUUGAAAUGACUGAUGCUCCUCUCGACACCUUGAUUGCAUCAUGACUGUGAGAGACCCAGGCCAGAGGACCUCGCUAAGCCAUGCCCAGAUUCCUGAGCAACAGAAACUGUGAGAUAAUAAAUAUUAUUCAUUUAA